UUUUUUUUUUUUUUUUUUUGUAGAGAUGGGGUCUCCUUCUGAUUCCCAGGCUGGUCUUAAACUCCUGGGUUCAAGCAGUCCUCCCACCUAUGCCUCCCAAAGUGCUGGGAUUACAGGCGUGAACCACCCACCUCACCUGGCUCUUUCUUCUUUCUUAAAAUUGACCAUUCUUAGUAGAGGUUUGUCAAUCUUUCCAAUCUUUUAGGGAAAAAAUCAGCUUUUGAUAUUGUUAAGUUUCUCCAUUUUUCUCAUGCUUUCUAUGCCACUGAUUUCUGUAUUUGUCUUUAUUUCCCUUUUUUGGCUUUGUUCUUUUUUCCCUGGCUUCUGGGAGUGAAUCUUAGGUCUCUGCUUUCAUGCCUUUACACGCACUUAGUUACAGAGUUCUAAGUAUUGCUUUAGCUACACCAACAAUUUUGAUGUUAUAUUUUCAUUAUUAUUCAGUUGGAAAUAUUUUUUCUUCUUCUGUUAUUUUUUCCCCACCUGAGUUACAAAUUUUUUUUUUUUGAAACAGUCUCGCUCUGUCACCCAGGCUGGAGUGCAGUGGCGCAAUCUCAGCUCGCUGAAGCCUCUGCCUCCCAGGCUCACGCGAUUCUCCUGCCUCGGCCUCACGAGUAGCUGGGAUUACAGGCACCUGCCACCACACCUGGCUAAUUUUUUGUAUUUUUAGUAGAGACGGGGUUUCAGCAUGUUGGCCAGGCUGGUCUCAAACUCCUGACCUCGUGAUCCACCUGCCUCUGCCUCCCAAAGUGCUGGGAUCACAGGCGUGAGCCACUGCACCCGGCCCAGACAGUGGACUUUCUAUCAGUGCGUUAGUCACCCCACACUAUCAUGUGGGGACUGUGGCUGCCCUCAGGGCAAAGAUGCAAAAACAGGAAACUGUGCUGGUUGCUUCCUCCAAGUCAAAACUUCCCUCCAAAAUCUGCCACUCUCCAGAGCCCUCAGGGAGCUGUUUUUCAUACUCUGUCCAUGGUUAUAGUUGUGCUAUGGCAGGGUCACUCUGUUAGAAGUUUACUCUUUCCCACUGAAGUAGAACCCCAUCAUACGGCUUUCUGUGUCCAGAAACCAAGGCGAUUUUAGUUUCUAGACGGUGGGCGC
ensembl:lncRNA novel transcript, antisense to C1orf159